rnacentral:rRNA from 1 species
GACGAACGCUGGCGGCGUGCUUAACACAUGCAAGUCGAACGGAAAGGCCCUGCUUUUGUGGGGUGCUCGAGUGGCGAACGGGUGAGUAACACGUGAGUAACCUGCCCUUGACUUUGGGAUAACUUCAGGAAACUGGGGCUAAUACCGGAUAGGAGCUCCUGCUGCAUGGUGGGGGUUGGAAAGUUUCGGCGGUUGGGGAUAGACUCGCGGCUUAUCGGCUUGUUGGUGGGGUAGUGGCUUACCAAGGCUUUGACGGGUAGCCGGCCUGGGAGGGUGACCGGCCACAUUGGGACUGAGAUACGGCCCAGACUCCUACGGGAGGCAGCAGUGGGGAAUAUUGCACAAUGGGCGGGAGCCUGAUGCAGCAACGCCGCGUGCGGAAUGACGGCCUUCGGGUUGUAAACCGCUUUCGCCUGUGACGAAGCGUGAGUGACGGUAAUGGGUAAAGAAGCACCGGCUAACUACGUG